AGGUAUAUGGCAAUCUGUUAGAAUGCAUGAGGGAUCAUAUUGCAUAGGACAAUAAAUAAACAGAUUUGGAAUACAAGAUAAAUGGUUAAUUUAUUCACCAUACUUCAAAAAUGAAUGUUCUUUCUUGCUUUUGGUAUGAUAAAAAGCCUGUCUGAAUUCUUGAUUAAUGUUUAGAGAACUGAGAAUGAGUAAGAACACUUUGAUGCUGUUUGAUUUCUACAGAAAAAGGUAGCAGCACUGCCUAAACAAGAGGUUAUACAAGAAAAGGAAGAGAUAAUCCAUGAAGAUAAUGAAUGGGGUAUUGAGCUGGUAUCUGAGGUUUCAGAAGAGGAACUGAAAAAUUCUUCAGGUCCAGUUCCAGACUUACCUGAAGGAAUUACAGUGGCAUACACAAUUCCAAAAAAGCAAGAAGAUUCUGUCACUGAGGUAACAGUGGAAGAUUCUGGUGAAAGCUUGGAAGACCUCAUGGCCAAGAUGAAGAAUAUGUAGAUAAUGGACUGGGAU
rnacentral:sRNA from 1 species